rnacentral:rRNA from 1 species
GACGAACGCUGGCGGCGUGCUUAACACAUGCAAGUCGAACGAAGUGGCGAACGGGUGAGUAACGCGUAAUCAACCUGCCCUUCAGAGGGGGACAACAGUUGGAAACGACUGCUAAUACCGCAUACGGAAGGAGGGGAUGGUGGCUGAUUAGCUAGUUGGAGGGGUAACGGCCCACCAAGGCGAUGAUCAGUAGCCGGUCUGGGGGGGAGGACGGCCCCAUUGGGACUGAGAAACGGCCCAGACUCCUUCCGGGGGCAGCAGUGGGGAAACUUUCGCAAUGGGCGGAAGUCUGACUGAGCAACGCCGCGUGAGUUAUGACGGCCUUCGGGUUUGAAAGCUCUGUUAAUCGGGACGCGGUACCGGAAUAGAAAGCCACGGCUAACUACGUGCCAGCCGCCGCGGUAAUAC